GCGGGUGUCGUAUAAUGGCUAUUACCUUAGCCUUCCAAGCUAAAGACGUGGGUUCGAUUCCCAUCACCCGCUCCA
rnacentral:tRNA from 4 species